rnacentral:rRNA from 1 species
UACGUAGGUGGCAAGCGUUGACCGGAUUUAUUGGGUUUAAAGGGUGCGUAGGCGGUUUUGUAAGUCAGUGGUGAAAUAUGUCAGCUUAACUGAGAGGGUGCCAUUGAUACUGCAGAACUUGAGUACAGAUGAGGUAGGCGGAAUUGACGGUGUAGCGGUGAAAUGGUUAGAUAUCGUCAAGAACACCUAUAGCGAAGGCAGCUUACUAGGCUGUAACUGACGCUGAGGCAAGAAAGUGUGGGGAUCAAACAGG